CGGUGAAAUGCGUAGAGAUCUGGAGGAAUACCGGUGGCGAAGGCGGCCCCCUGGACAAAGACUGACGCUCAGGUGCGAAAGCGUGGGGAGCAAACAGGAUUAGAUACCCUGGUAGUCCACGCCGUAAACGAUGUCUACUUGGAGGUUGUGCCCUUGAGGCGUGGCUUCCGGAGCUAACGCGUUAAGUAGACCGCCUGGGGAGUACGGCCGCAAGGUUAAAACUCAAAUGAAUUGACGGGGGCCCGCACAAGCGGUGGAGCAUGUGGUUUAAUUCGAUGCAACGCGAAGAACC
rnacentral:rRNA from 1 species